rnacentral:ncRNA from 1 species
AUCGUGACGAUGAAGGGAAGAGUAGUUACGUACGCUUUUUACAGAGAGCCGGUAAAGGUGGGAACCGGUAGAGGCGGCGGGAUGAAGAUGGCCCCGGAGUUUUUGCUUCCGAGCAUGCUGUUUGUUAGGGAGCAACGUUUCCCGCGUUAUGGGAUAAGAGCCUGUCCGUUUGUAUUUUUUCUAUAGAAGAUACAAUGAUAGGGAAUUUGGGUGGUACCACGAGAGCUUCUCGUCCCAUGU